UGGGGAAUUUUCCGCAAUGGGCGAAAGCCUGACGGAGCAAUGCCGCGUGGAGGUGGAAGGCCUACGGGUCGUCAACUUCUUUCUCGGAGAAGAAACAAUGACGGUAUCUGAGGAAUAAGCAUCGGCUAACUCUGUGCCA
rnacentral:rRNA from 1 species